GAGUCUCACUCUAUUGCCCAGGCUGGAGUGCUGUGGUAUGAUCUUGACUCACUGCAAUCUCCACCUCCCGGGUUCAAGCAAUUCUCCUGUCCCAGCAUGCCAAGUAGCUGGGAUUAUAGGCAUGCACCACCAGGCCUGGAUAAUUUUGUAUUUUUAGUAGACGAGGUUUCACCAUGUUGGCCAAGCUGGUCUUGAACUCCUGACCUCAGGCCAUCCUCCCAACUUGACCUCCCCAAGUGCUGGAAUUACAGCUAUUGUGAAAAUGGAUGAGUUGUUAUUUGAUUCUCAGCUUUGAACCCCGCAUAGCCAAAGCAAGACUAAGAAAAAGAACAAAUCUGGGGGCAUCACAUUGUAAUGCCUAAGGUUCUUGCCUAGCCACACCAAAAACUGGUGCGGCAGCUGACCACGGCAAGUGAUAGAGACCCGGACCGAGAAUGAGCAGUAGGUUUUAUCGAGCAGAACAAGAGUACAAAGCUUCCAGAGUGUGGAAGGGGUCCCGAAAGUGUAGGCAGAGUUGGAUUAUACGAUUGCCUUUUAAACUCUUUAAGCAAACUUCCAGAAACAAAACAGACAACAUUUUGUGACGAUAAAUAUCACAGUUGCCACACAGACCAGCA
rnacentral:lncRNA from 1 species